GGUCAAUUAUGGUACUUACGCUUUUUCCUAUUAGACAAAGCUGCAAUAUGCCCUCCGAAAUCAAGUCAAAGUGUGGCCCUGGGUGAUAGGCCGACCCUUCAGACUAUGGUGUCCGGGGUUUGAGGCCUAGGACCGGCUUAAAAUGUGUACACCCGGUACUCCCAGAUCAAAUAGGGUAUAUAGUAUUUGUGGAUGUAUGCAA
rnacentral:lncRNA from 1 species